UACGGAGGGUGCGAGCGUUGUCCGGAAUCAUUGGGCGUAAAGGGCGCGUAGGUGGCCACUUCAAGCGUGCGGUGAAAGUCGGGGGCUCAACCCCUGAUCGGCCGUGCGAACUGGGGGGCUGGAGCACUGUAGAGGCAGGCGGAAUUCCGGGUGUAGCGGUGGAAUGCGUAGAGAUCCGGAAGAACACCGGUGGCGAAGGCGGCCUGCUGGGCAGUAGCUGACGCUGAUGCGCGACAGCGUGGGGAGCAAACAGG
rnacentral:rRNA from 1 species